rnacentral:rRNA from 1 species
CCUACGGGUGGCUGCAGUGGGGAAUAUUGGACAAUGGGGGCAACCCUGAUCCAGCCAUGCCGCGUGUGUGAAGAAGGCCCUCGGGUUGUAAAGCACUUUCAGUGAGGAAGAACGCCUGGUGGUUAAUACCCAUCAGGAAAGACAUCACUCACAGAAGAAGCACCGGCUAACUCCGUGCCAGCAGCCGCGGUAAUACGGAGGGUGCGAGCGUUAAUCGGAAUUACUGGGCGUAAAGCGCGCGUAGGUGGCUUGAUAAGCCGGUUGUGAAAGCCCCGGGCUCAACCUGGGAACGGCAUCCGGAACUGUCAAGCUAGAGUGCAGGAGAGGAAGGUAGAAUUCCCGGUGUAGCGGUGAAAUGCGUAGAGAUCGGGAGGAAUACCAGUAGCGAAGGCGGCCUUCUGGACUGACACUGACACUGAGGUGCGAAAGCGUGGGUAGCAAACAGGAUUAGAUACCCUAGUAGUC